rnacentral:lncRNA from 1 species
AUGUGCACUGUGUCCGGAAGGGGGAGAUGUUGCCAAACGGCAGGAGUAUUCGAACGGGAGAACACGAUGAAUGGCCUAAGGGCUGCAGGGGAGGCGGCCCGCUGUGGUAGUGGAGCAAGAGUUAGGGCCAGGCAGGUGGUGAGGGAAUGGACUGGAGGGGGGCAUGGGAGAGCUUUCUGGGGCCACCAGUGGAAUAAAACCCCACACGAUCAUCCAACACAAAAUCAGACAGAUAGCAAAGAAGAACUGAGCAGAGAGUGGCACUUCUGGGAAGAGGCAUCAGAUAUUACCAUCAGAAGAACUCAAGUGUUAUGAGAAAGAUUGACAUUACUGUAUUUCUGGUCAGACUGGAAUGAGGAACUUUGAGAGUCUUUCCUAGAAGAAACGGCAUGUGAUGUUGUCAUUUUUUCUAAAACAGUUAAUUUUGAAACGCUUUAAAACUAUGCCUCAAGCUUCUGGUUGCCCUGCAAAUAAAAAUGCAACUGGAAUAUUGAGUUACCUGUUU